CCUUGCAGGAAAAAGAGAGAAAAAGAAGAAGUUGAAGUUGAAGAAGAAGCUUCAAAGUUCUUGUGGCAUUCUACAUGGACUGCCUUAUGACUGCUCAGCAGCAAGAUUCGCUCGCGUGCUGCUGACAACAAAUCUUUCGAUUGGAGCAAACAGCAGCAAUUCUUUACCAGGUGAAAGAACCCGUGGCGCUGUAAGCUGAGAAUGGAGGUGAGAGAUUGUUCUCGUUUUCUUUCGUUUUUCUCCUCCUUGAUUUGUAAACAAGCGAUGAAUCGAAAUCUUCCUUCCCGCA